rnacentral:misc_RNA from 1 species
AAAGUCGUAACAAGGUCUCCGUAGGUGAACCUGCGGAGGGAUCAUUAACACGUGUCACCACGUAUCCCCAUACUCACCAACCACGCGUGAACUCGAACCCACUCCCUUCACAGCUCGGACGAUUGAACAAUCAUCAGGGUGGAGUCAGUACCAGGGAAGAAGGCAUCGACCCUCCGUCUGUCUGACUAUGACUCGGUCUAGAGGCUCAUCGAGGCCUCAAUCCACUGUGAAGCGUUUUGCGACCACCUGGCAGACUGCACUGUUGUCCUUCGGGUCACUGCAGCGUUCUGCCGAAUCUAUUCACCCCCUUUAAAAAUUUUAUUUUUAAACACCCCUUUAACCCAUAACACUAAAACUGAACCUUAUUCAUGUGGGCUGCGCGUUUCGCCUUCUCCACCACUGAAUGAUAUACGUAAUGCUGAACAACUCUUAGCAAUGGAUAUCUUGGUUCUC